rnacentral:rRNA from 1 species
UGGGGAAUUUUGCACAAUGGGGGAAUCCCUGAUGCAGCGACGCCGCGUGAUUUAGAAGGCCUUCGGGUUGUAAAAAUCUUUUCUAUGGGAAGAAAAUGACAGUACCAUAGGAAUAAGGACCGGCUAAUUACGUGCCAGCAGCCGCGGUAAUACGUAAGGUCCGAGCGUUGUCCGGAAUCAUUGGGCGUAAAGGGUACGUAGGCGGGUAAGCAAGUUUGAAGUGAAAUCCUAUAGCUCAACUAUAGUAAGCUUUUAAAACUGCUCAUCUUGAGGUAUGGAAGGGAAAGUGGAAUUCCUAGUGUAGCGGUGAAAUGCGCAGAUAUUAGGAGGAAUACCGGUGGCGAAGGCGACUUUCUGGCCAUAACCUGACGCUGAGGUACGAAAGCGUGGGUAGCAAACAGG